AAAAAACAGGGGUUGAAAGGGGAAACAUUCCCCUUCCUCAUUCAGGAGGGUGCUCAGACUGUGGAAACAGUCGUCGAAGGGGAC
rnacentral:sRNA from 21 species